UGAAGCCAGAUGGAGACGACAUAUCAGUGU
rnacentral:piRNA from 1 species